rnacentral:rRNA from 1 species
GCUUGUCUCAAAGAUUAAGCCAUGCAUGUCUAAGUAUAAGCCUUUAUAUGGUGAGACUGCGAAUGGCUCAUUAAAUCAGAAACUGUUUAUUUGAUAGUGCCUACUACAUGGAUACCUGUAGUAAUUCUAGAGCUAAUACAUGCAUAAAGCCCUGACUGUUUGGAAGGGGUGUAUUUAUUAGAUGGAAACCAAUUCGGGGCAACCCGGUUCAUGGUGAUUCAUAAUAACUUUCGGAUCGACCUUUCGGUCGAUGCAUCAUUCAAGUUUCUGCCCUAUCAGUUGUGGAUGGUAGGGUAUUGGCCUACCAUGACUUUAACGGGUAACGGAGAAUUAGGGUUCGAUUCCGGAGAGGGAGCCUGAGAAAUGGCUACCACAUCCAAGGAAGGCAGCAGG